ACGUACAGUGUAUCAAUCGUUCAUAUAUUCGUUGAUUCCCACUUUCCUUCUUCGGAUCAAGCGCUUCCGCUCUUUAACCCUAAUCCUGAUAAUUUAUUGUCGAAAUCCAUCUGAGGAUUUCUUCCACAAGGUAUUCCCUUCGAUCCACUCCUGGUUUCGCGGAUCCUGCACCCCCGCACCCCCCCCAUCCGAUCUCUUGCGCUUCUCGGCCUCGCCGUUCCUUCUCGAUUCCGCUACAGAAGAUUGAAGAGGACAAAUGCCAGAAGAGGAUUUGGUCGAGCUCAAGUUCCGGCUGUGUGAUGGAUCCGACAUCGGUCCGAUAUGCUACACUUCUUCCUCCACCGUUGCCAUGCUCAAGGAAAGGAUUAUCUCGGAAUGGCCGCGAG